CCUUUAGCAAAAUAAGUAUUAAAGGUGACGCCUGCCCAGUGAAUAAUUUAACGGCCGCGGGAUCCUCCACCGUGCAAAGGUAGCAUAAUCACUUGUCUUCUAAAUAAAGACUAGUAUGAAUGGCCAAAUGAAGAUUUACCUGUCUCUUGUAGUCCAUCUAUUAAACUGAUCUUUCAGUACAAAAGCUGAAAUACUAACACAAGACGAAAAGACCCUGUGGAACUUCAAGCUAAAAUCACAUUAAUGAUUAAGCCGCUUUUAGUUGGGGCAACUCUGGAAAAAAACAAAACUUCCAUAUACCCUCAAGGCAGACAUGCCUACACCACUUUUAACCCCUUGACCCAGUAAUACUGAGUAAAGAACCAAGCUACCCCAGGGAUAACAGCGCCAUCCCCUCCUAGAGCCCCCAUCGACGAGCGGGGUUUACGACCUCGAUGUUGGAUCAGGGCCCCCAAGCAGUGCAGCAGCUGCUAAAGGUUUGUUUGUUCAACAAUUAAUGCCCUACGCGAUCUGAGUUAAGACCGGAGCAAUCCA
rnacentral:rRNA from 1 species